ACGUGCUAAAGGGUGAAAAUGUCUGGGUCUCAAAAGCCACAAAAUAUAGCAACAUGGCCCCUCGGUCGUUGGACUAAACAUUUCACUGAUACAGAUUCUCUUCCCUAGACUACUUCACUGUAACCCAGCUUGGAAGGAGGGGGGAAGUAAGUUUUAAGACCCAGAACUGCUCCUCUAGACUCCCCUCAAACGACCUAACACAUCCUCUUGUCAUUCCUAUCAAAGCCAUGCUGGCAGGUUAGGUCUCGGAGGACAAGAGGUAAGCAGCAGGAGACAGCAUUCCAGAUCAAAGACAUGAGAGCGGAGAAGAGAGGAUCACAAGGCGGUUCUCUGCCAAGGCAAACAGAGACAGGCAGAGGGAGGAGACAGAAUGACAUUUCCUUCCGAGAGCCUCUGAUGGAAAAUCACAGAGAGUCCAUCCGCCCGUGUCUGGAGCUGAGACGCAGCUGGAGAGUCUUCUCUUAAUGACACCUUGAUGCUCCUGAAGAUCUCACUUCAACCGAUUGCCCGCUCUGCUUCUGUUGUCAGCUUGCAUGCCAGCACACUCUCACCACCAGGUCGGAGGGGUUUCCAAGCCAAUGAUAAAAUUCCCAGAUUGCUGUGAUGAAGUUUCAUUCAUUCUAACUUCCUUUAAGAACGAGGACAGGGCUUCCCUGGGGGCACAGUGGACACCUGCCGAUGCAGGGGACACGGGUUCGAUCCCAGGUCCAGGAGGAUCCCACAGGCCCUGGAGCAAGCAAGCCUGCAAGCCCUAACUAUGGAGCCUGUGCGCCUAGAGGCAGUGCUCUGCAAGAACACCGGCCCCCACAGUGAGAAGCCACAGCUAGAACAUAGCCCCUUCUGGCCUCAAAUACAGAAAGCCCGCAACAGCAACAAAGACCCAACGCAACCAAAAAUUAAAACAAAAAAGAACAAGAACAGAUUUCGCACACUGAUUGACAUCAGGAAAUCAUUUUGUUGGUGGUUUAUAAAUGCUUUUGAUGAAUAUAGGUGGGAUUACAUAUGAUGCCUCCACCAAAAUAAAUGUUAGUCGAGUCAUGACUCCAUUCAGGAUUAUCAAAGAGCAAAAGAGAAGUUAUUAGGAGAAACCUACUUAGUAAAUAAUAGAGAUCAAAUUCCACUGUCAAAGAGGAACUUUUAAAUAGUUAAAACAUGAUUCAUACAAAUAUAGAAUGACUACGUUAACUUGUGUUCAACUAAUUGAUGGAAGAGCCAAUGGAAUGGUAAAGUUGGUUCCCAGGGCAUUUGAGGACCUAUGUAUUUGUAGAAAUUUGUAAAAGAGAUGGCCUGAACAAAAUUUCCAGGUUAAAUACAAAUCUGGUUAACAUCCUCCUAGAUAAUUUUUGGAGUUACCUUUCUACCAGACGUAAAUCUAUAAAUCAACAUAUAGCCCCAUGGAGUCUAGGCCUUGUUGUAAACUGUGCAUCAAACAAAAGGUACUUUUCCUUGGCUAAUUAUAUAAUCCUUGGAGGCCUUUUUAAACAUUUCCCCAGUGUAACAUUGAUGGGACAUGCUGUUCUAUUUUCCCCUUAAUUCCAAGUUUGUGCCUAUUUUCCUUGCCACCUCUGAAGUUGUGCUUAAAACAAAUAAAAAUGAGAUUCUAAUACUAUA